GAUGAAGAACGUAGCGAAAUGCGAUAAGUAAUGUGAAUUGCAGAAUUCAGUGAAUCAUCGAAUCUUUGAACGCACAUUGCGCCCGCCAGUAUUCUGGCGGGCAUGCCUGUCCGAGCGUCAUUUCAACCAUCAAGCCCCCGGGCUUGUGUUGGGGACCUGCGGCUGCCCGCAGGCCCUGAAAACCAGUGGCGGGCUCGCUGUCACACCGAGCGUAGUAGCAAUCACCUCACUCAGGGCGUGCUGCGGGUUCCGGCCGUGAAACCCCCUACUUUUAAAGGUUGACCUCGGAUCAGGUAGGAAUACCCGCUGAACUUAAGCAUAUCAAUAAGCGGAGGA
rnacentral:misc_RNA from 1 species